rnacentral:sRNA from 1 species
GCUGGGCGUAGUGGUGCAUACCUGUAACCCUAGUUACCUGGGUGGCUGAGGUAGGAGGAUCACAAGUUCAAAGGCAGCAUGGGCGUUUCGUGAGACCCCGCCUCAA